rnacentral:lncRNA from 1 species
CAGUUUGCUGAAAAGAAUCUUCCCAACACUGAGGGACUUUUUCCUUGUCCUUGUGUUUCUUGUGGGAACCGGGACCCAAAACUUAGUAAGGAAGAAAUUAAGGGCCAUCUAGUUUCGGUAGGGAUUUGUCAAAAUUAUACCCAAUGAAUAUGGCAUGGUGAAACUAUGAUGACAAGUGUAUCCCUAGACAUCUGAUUGUUGAUAUUAUGUGUUGAGUAUGAUAAUGGAAUGACUGAAUUUCUACAGUUUGCUGAAAAGAAUCUUCCCAACACUGAGGGACUUUUUCCUUGUCCUUGUAUUUCUUGUGGGAACUGGGACCCAAAACUUAGUAAGGAAGAAAUUAGGGGCCAUCUAGUUUCGGUAGGGAUUUGUCAAAAUUAUACCGAAUGGAUAUGGCAUGGUGAAACUAUGAUGACAAGUGUAUCCCUAGACAUCUGAUUGUGGAUAUUAUGUGAUGAAGAACAUGCUAGACAUCGUCUCUGCUAAUAUUACUACCUCUUGGAUGAAGGUAU